rnacentral:rRNA from 1 species
UACGUAGGGUGCGAGCGUUAAUCGGAAUUACUGGGCGUGAAGCGUGCGCAGGCGGUUUUGUAAGACAGAUGUGAAAUCCCCGGGCUUAACCUGGGAACUGCGUUUGUGACUGCGAGGCUAGAGUACGGCAGAGGGGGGUGGAAUUCCUGGUGUAGCAGUGAAAUGCGUAGAUAUCAGGAGGAACACCGAUGGCGAAGGCAGCCCCCUGGGCCUGUACUGACGCUCAUGCACGAAAGCGUGGGGAGCAAACAGG